rnacentral:rRNA from 1 species
GAUGGCGAGUGGCGGACGGGUGAGUAACACGUAGGAAUCUACCUUUAAGUGGGGGACAACCUGGGGAAACUCAGGCUAAUACCGCAUAAUCUCUACGGAGCAAAGCUGGGCCUUUGGCCUGGCGCUUUUAGAUGAGCCUGCGUCAGAUUAGCUUGUUGGUGGGGUAAAGGCCUACCAAGGCAAUGAUCUGUAGCUGGUCUGAGAGGAUGAUCACCCACACUGGGACUGAGAUACGGCCCACACUCCUACGGGAGGCAGCAGUGGGGAAUAUUGGACAAUGGGCGAAAGCCUGAUCCAGCAAUGCCGCGUGUGUGAUGAACGCCUUAGGGUUGUAAAGCACUUUCAGUGGGGAAGAAAGGUACGGGGUUAAUACCCCUGUGCUGUGACGUUAUCCACAAAAGAAGCACCGGCUAACUCUGUGCCAGCAGCCGCGGUAAUACAGAGGGUGCAAGCGUUAAUCGGAAUUACUGGGCGUAAAGAGCUCGUAGGUGGAAGUUUAAGUCAGAUGUAAAAGCCCUGGGCUCAACCU